UGGAGACAUAUUCUCCUAUGGUGGAUGCAAUCACUUUCAGGUAUUUUAUAAAUUUGGCAGUCCAUGAAAAAUUUGAUAUGCAUCUAAUGGAUGUUGUCACAGCUUAUUUGUAUGGCACAUUAUAUAACGUAAUUUAUAUGGAAAUUCCCGAAAGGCUUAAAGUUCCUGAAACUAAUAAAAUUUUUUGGGAAACUUAUUCAAUAAAGCUUCAAAAAUUCCUAUACGGAUUGAAACAAUCAAGGUGAAUGUGGUAUAAUCACCUGAGUGAAUAUUUGCUGAAAGAAGGGUAUAAGAAUGAUCCAAUUUGUCCCUGCAUAUUUAUAAGAAGGUCUGGAUUUGAAUUUGUUAUAAUCGAUGUGUAUGUUGACGAUCUAAAUAUCGCUAGAACUUCUGGGGAACUUCCAAAAGCAGUAGGCUUUUUGAAGAAAGAGUUCGAAAUGAAAGAUCUUGGAAAGACAAAAUUUUGUCUUGGUCUACAAAUUGAGCAUAUGAAAUAUGGAAUUUUUGUCCAUCAAUCAACUUAUACCGAAAAGAUCCUAAAGCGUUUUUAUAUGGAUAAAGCACAUCCAUUGAGUACCCCGAUGAUUAAAAUUUUGUCCAUCAAUUAACUUAUACCGAAGAGAUCCUAAAGCAUUUUUAUAUGGAUAAAGCACAUCCAUUGAGUACCUCAAUGGUUGUGAGAUCACUUGAUAUAAAUAAAGAUCCACUCCGACCUCAUGAAAAUGAUGGAGAGCGUCUUGGUGAUGAAACUCCAUAUCUUAAUGCAAUUAGGACAUAAUGUAUCUUGCAAAUAAUACUCGACCAGAUAUAACUUUUGCUGUAACUUUAUUAGGAAGAUUUAGUUCUUUUCCAACAACAAGACACUGGAAUGGUGUUAAGCAUAUUUUUAGAUACCUUCGAGGGAUUAUUGAUAUGUGAUUAUUUUAUUCUUAUGAAUCUGAUUCAAAGUUGAUUGGUUAUGCAGAUGCAAGUUAUUUGUCUAACCCACAUAAAGCCCGAUCUCAAAGCACAUUUCACCAAAGUUCUUUUUCAUACACAAUCUUCAGCAAAAUGGUGAGACAAAUAUUCAACAAAUCUAUUCAAGUGACAAUCUAGAAUAUUGAUUUACUAAUGCAUUGACAACAUCAACAUUUGAGAAUAUGAGACCAAAGAUUGGAGAGAUAUCAAAUAAAGCUUUCGUUAGGGGGAGUUUAAUACGCGUUGUACUCUUUUUUCCUUAACCAAGGUUUUGUCCUAAGUGAGUUUUCCUGGUAAGGUUUUUAAUGAGGCAGCACUCAUGCGUAUUACAAGAUAAUGUGUACUUUUUUUCCUUUACUAGGCUUUUCUCCACUGGGUUUUCCUAGUAAGGUUUUAACGAGGCACAUUAUCUUUUAGAUGAACAUCCAAGGGGGGGUGUUAUGAAUAUGUUAGGGUGGAUGUCCAUUGAAUACUCCUAGACAUCCCUAUUCCAUGAACCAUUUGAGUUCAUGUACUUAGUUAAUUCAUUACUUAAUAUUUGUAACCUUUAG
rnacentral:lncRNA from 1 species